GACGAACGCUGGCGGCGUGCCUAAUACAUGCAAGUUGAGCGAUGAAGAUUGGUGCUUGCCCCAAUUUGAAGAGCAGCGAACGGGUGAGUAACGCGUGGGGAAUCUGCCUUUGAGCGGGGGACAACAUUUGGAAACGAAUGCUAAUACCGCAUAACAACUUUAAACAUAAGUUUUAAGUUUGAAAGAUGCAAUUGCAUCACUCAAAGAUGAUCCCGCGUUGUAUUAGCUAGUUGGUGAGGUAAAGGCUCACCAAGGCGAUGAUACAUAGCCGACCUGAGAGGGUGAUCGGCCACAUUGGGACUGAGACACGGCCCAAACUCCUACGGGAGGCAGCAGUAGGGAAUCUUCGGCAAUGGACGAAAGUCUGGCCGAGCAACGCCGCGUGAGUGAAGAAGGUUUUCGGAUCGUAAAACUCUGUUGGUAGAGAAGAACGUUGGUGAGAGUGGAAAGCUCAUCAAGUGACGGUAACUACCCAGAAAGGGACGGCUAACUACGUG
rnacentral:rRNA from 1 species